UACGUAGGGGGCAAGCGUUGUCCGGAAUCAUUGGGCGUAAAGCGCGCGUAGGCGGCCCGAUAAGUCCGCUGUGAAAGUCCAGGGCUCAACCCUGGAAUGCCGGUGGAUACUGUCGGGCUCGAGUCCGGAAGAGGCGAGUGGAAUUCCUGGUGUAGCGGUGAAAUGCGCAGAUAUCAGGAGGAACACCGGUGGCGAAGGCAGUGUUCUGGGCCAGUACUGACGCUGAGGAGCGAAAGCGUGGGGAGCAAACAGG
rnacentral:rRNA from 1 species